GACGAACGCUGGCGGCGGGCUUAACACAUGCAAGUCGAACGGAAAGGCCCUGCUUUUGUGGGGUGCUCGAGUGGCGAACGGGUGAGUAACACGUGAGUAACCUGCCCUUGACUUUGGGAUAACUUCAGGAAACUGGGGCUUAUACCGGAUAGGAGCUCCUGCUGCAUGGUGUGGGUUGGAUAGUUUCGGCGGUUGGGGUUGUACUCGCGGCUUAUCAGCUUGUUGGUGGGGUAGUGGCUUACCAAGGCUUUGACGGGUAGCCCGCCUGAGAGGGUGACCGGCCACAUUGGGACUGAGAUACGGCACAGACUCCUACGGGAGGCAGCAGUGGGGAAUAUUGCACAAUGGGCGGAAGCCUGAUGCAGCAACGCCGCGUGCGGGAUGACGGCCUGCGGGUUGUAAACCGCUUUCGCCUUUGACGAAGCGUGAGUGACGGUAAUGGGUAAAGAAGCACCGGCUAACUACGUG
rnacentral:rRNA from 1 species